AAGGAGUCUAACAUAUCUGCGAGUAUUUGGGUGUCAAACCCGAGUGCGCAAUGAAAGUGAACGUAGGAGGCACGCGCAAGCUGCAGCUUCGACCGAUCUGGAUCUUUAGUGAUGGAUUUGCGUAAGAGCAUAUAUGUUGGGACCCGAAAGAUGGUGAACUAUGCCUGAAUAGGGCGAAGCCAGUGGAAACUCUGGUGGAGGCUCGUAGCGAUUCUGACGUGCAAAUCGAUCUUCAAAUUUGGGUAUAGGGGCGAAAGACUAGUCGAACCAUCUAGUAGCUGGUUCCUGC
rnacentral:misc_RNA from 1 species